AAACAGCUUCUGUAGUUAAUAAAUAGUACCCAUGUCUGUUAGAGUCUGAAAAGUUACAUAACUACUUGAUAUAAGACACAGUCAAGCAAAAUAUUUACUAUGUAACCCUACACAGCACAGAAUAGUUUCCGUUAAUUGUUUUGUAUGUGUAUCACAGGAAAUGAAGAGUUUUCUCUAUCUAUAACUAAAAGGUAAAAUAUAUGAGAGACAGUUGUUGGUAAGGGGCCAGAUGAAUCCUAUAUAUUACUAUUAGACUAUACUGAAAUAUACUUCUGGACACAGGAUGUUCAAAAAGUGUUUCUUUUAAUACUUAUUUUAAGCACUUUCAUUAGCCAUUUAUUUUUGUGCUGUGUGUGUCUUCACAAUGGGCUGGGUCUGCUAAAGCAAAGUAGAGCAUGACUUCUGUCACGUCUGCCAUUUGAAACUCGGUGUCACUUGGUGUCUGGCUCCUUUAAGGGGAGAUGGGGCCAGCCACACUUAUGCCAUAAUUAAUUAGCUGUUUCCCAGACUGAGAAGGUGGGACUAAGGAGGUUUAGGUGAUACUUAAUGGACACCAGGCCAUGUAAGAGGGCUAAAAAGCUCAACUUGGGCAGAACCACAGAGAGUGGGCAGGCUUCUUUGGAAGGUUCUGAGUGAGGGUCUGCAGUAGACUGAGGGGUGCUAGAAACUCCAGGGAAGAAGUCUGAGAGUUAGAGCCAGAGACUUUAAAGAUAACCUGGAAGGGACUAGAAACUGAGCCCGGAACAGGCUAGAAAGGAGCCCAGGUGGGGAGAAAGUACUUUUUUUUGUUUGGACUUCCUACCUCAAAAGAGAAUUGAGGUCAGAAUGACCCAUCUGAAGGACUGAGCCACAUGACCUGCCAAGAGAGACAGAAAAUCCUGGGGAGGAGGAAACUCAGGCAGGGAGUGCCUGCAGAGUCACACAGGGCCAGCAGCGGCCAGAGAUGCUCCAUGAAACUCAUGUGAAAAGCUGUGACAUCCCAGACAGUAGCCUCUUCCAUACCUGAAGCAGCAUACCAAGGAGAGGGGGAAGCAAUAGGCUGGGAAUCAGUUGUGAUCGAAUCUGAGGGGUGUGGCAAGUGAGAGCACUACAUGGAAGAUUAGAGAAGUCUAAUCUGGGGAUCAGGAGAGAGGAAGCUAUGUUUAUCUGGGGGGGCUGGAAUCCAUCACUGUGAAGUUUGCAAAUUCCAGAAGACUCCUGUCAUGAAGCAAAUCCUAAAUAUUUUUUUAAAUGUAUGUAGAUUCCCAAGCUAAAAACUUCUUAAACUGGAUUUACAUCUGUAAAUACCAAAUACUUAAUGGGUAAAAAAACCCUUAUUAAGAGAAUACUAUACUUUUCUCAGUUACUAAGGAUAACUCGUAAAUUCAAAGUUAAAGUUACUCAUAGACUAACACGGCUGUUACUCUGAAACCUGUCUAUGUGCUCAGUUAAUCUUAAUUUUGCCUCUCCACGCUGAGGAUACCCCCAGAUCAGGAGAUACUCCUAUUUUCAACAAAACACAUCUUUAUCUCAUCCGUUACACCAAACAGUUAGCAUGAAUCAAACUAAAUUAUUUUUUGCUUGUUGAUAACUGAUUCUGCACUGCUGUAACAUUUAAACCUAAAUUCAUCUCUUACAUUGCUACAGCAGACAAGUCCUGUCUUUAAAACCAGACACAACUGACAGAAAGAGACGUGUCUGUAUCUUUACUGAUGGUAAUCAGAUUCAGAACAGUCUUAUGAGACAAUUCCCCAGCAAUAGUUAGAAUUUCAAAGUGUUUUAGUAGAGUUUGUCUUGCCUAGGAAAAGUGGUCAAGUUUACGUCUAAGAUGUGCUAGUUAAACCUGACCUUAAACUCAACCUUUUUCCUACUAUAAAUGGAAGAUAAUACUUUGUAGUUUUAAUUCAGCUGGUUGAGUUGUAGCCUAGCAGAGUGAAUAUUUACUAAAGUUGAAUACGCCCACUUUAUGAUCAUGGAAUCUGUAUGCUCUCAUUAAGUGCAAAUUAUAAAUGGGGAUAGCAUUAUAAAAUGAAUAAUUUAACAAGAUUAGGAGCCAAAAUCAGGAUGUCUUAGGCAGCUGUUUAAUGGACGUUCUUUUAAUGAAAGUGCAUUGUAAUGAAUGUAAAACAAAAGUAAGUAGGAGUGAGAGAGUCACAGCUAUAAUUUUCCUGCAUGCUAAUUCUGACAGCAGCAUAUUGGUGGAGCAAGGCAAAAUUUGAUUUUGAUACAGUUUUGUUGUUUCUCUUGUUUAUAUAAAUGUUACCCUGAAUUGAAACAGUUUUCAGCUGAAACAUGAAUCUUUAUGUGAUUUUAUCAGGAUGUGGGUGGACGGGUCUAAAAGAAAAUGAAUGUCUCUUAGAAAAGUGAGUGUGUUUUUUAUGGAGGAAGUGAAAGGAAAGGAAUGCAGAGACGACAGUGGCAUUUUAGUGAUAUAGCACCUUGUCUUUCCUUUCACACAGCAAAAUUUAAGUGUUAUUCAAGUAUCAUCCAAUGGCAAACUUCCUCAGAAGUUAGUAUUAAAGUUUGACCUCUAGUGAUCUCAAAUUUCUUGAGAUUUUCUUGGAGCUAAACUUUCAGAUUUUUUUUCUUUAAAAAUGUAUCCUUUUAUAAUACCUUAUUCAUUUUGACUUCUGACAGCCAGGCUGUUUGUUCUCCUUUGUAAUUUUUUUAUACCUAAUUUUUCUUUUCUACUAUUCUAUCAUUAUUGGGUACUUCCUGGUACAUUUUCUGUGGGACGGAGGAAAUAUCUCUUUGGCUCUGUUGUGGAGGUGCCACUGAUUUAUUACCUGUCCAAGGUUGGUUUUGCGACUUGUACUCUACUGUAGCACUUGUUGCUAAGAUGUCCAUAUAUAGGAGGUCCUGAGAGAGAACAUUUUGAGGGGUUAAAACUAAGAGAUUGUCUAUGCUGGGAUUUCUUUGCAUCAGUUUAGCUAUACCAUUGAAACCAAGAUAAACCAUACCUCUGCAAGUCACUUUUUACACUAGUGCAGCCCCACACAUGUAAAAUGCACUUGAAAGAACAUAGCAAUGAUAUCUGUUUCAUUGGCGAUGUUCAGUAUUUAUAUUUCAGGAAAGUUUGAUAUCUGAACUGGUCAAUGGAAUGCCUCUUAGAGUCUAUUGCCAAAAGGAGAGUUGUGUGAGUUUAAGCUUUGUAUUUUGCUAAAUUUUUCUGCUGGUGGUUGAAAACAAAAGCAGUUCUGGAAGAACAUACUGUCUAUCAGGUUCAUAGAAGUAAUCUCCAAAAUCAAGAAAAGCACUUACUCACAUUGGUACAUGUAGUAAAACCUGCUAUAUAGCUCUUCGCGGUAAAAACAUGAUCUCCAGAUGACUCUCUGUAUUAUCACAAGAAUUUCCACCCAAGAGUAGCAAUAAGGUUGUUCCUUUGAGUUGUGAAGUUAUUUUACAGUAGACUCCAGAUUAGAAAUACAUCAGUAUUUUUUUGUUUUUGUUUUGCAACCAUAGGUAAUUGAGGAUUAUCAAUUACCUUUAUAAGGAUUAUUUCAACCAAUAAAAGCUACAAAACAAAAUGUUUUCUUAAUAUUUUAACAAUGAUCAGAUCUUCCAGCCUCAUUCAUUUUUCCGAGACCUUUCUAAAUAAGCGUAGCAUAAUUUUUUAUGAUUGUUUGACUUAUUGAUGCCAUGCCUGGGGAGGAUUCUGGAUCAGAUGCUCAGUGGAUUUCAGUAAUCCAGUAAAAAUCUAGUCCUUGUGUCUGCUCAGGGAAGUAAAAGAAAACAAUGAGAUGUGAAAGGAAGAAAACUGAGGGGGUAAAUAAAGUAUAAAGACCAGAAGUAAGUGGAAAGGGGGCACAAUGGGUCAGUGUGAAGAGAACCAAGGAUGGCAAGAGGCAAGAGGUAUAUUGAAAAAUACUGUUUCUUUUGUUUAUCAUUUUUACAGUGCAAAUAUUUGUAAUAAAAAAUAAUAUAAAGUGAUCAGUGUACACUUUGUAUCCUGUGUUGUAGUUGAAAUCAAUAUAUUUGAAAAUGUAGAAAAACAUCCAAAAAUAUUUAAAUGUCAAUUGAUGUUCUGUUGUUUAAAGAUGAAAUUAAAACUGUGAUUAACCGCAAUUUUUUUGAGUUAAUUGAGUGAGUUAGCUGUGAUUAAUCAACAGUCCUACAUGAUAUUACUUAUUUGCAUGUCAGUCCUACCAACUGACCUUUGAAAAAUCCUAGAUCCACUGCUGCCCCAGAAAGACCAUAGUACAUUAUUUAAACAGCCCAUUCUAAAUGCAGAAAAUCAAUUUAAAAUGAACAGAUUGUUUCAGUACAGAUUAUUUGACUAUGAUGCAAAAUAAAAAUUACAAACUAGUAAUUUAACAAUCCAGAUACAGCCAGCUCUAAAGACGACAAAGUAUUUUAUCUGACUUUGGCAUUAAACCCUUCCUCGUUAUUUACACUCACAGUAAUUCUCCCAAGUGUUUAUACACUGUGACCUUAUCCUAUGUAAUGUAUCCUAUACAUGUAAUUCCCAUUGGCACUAUCUGAAUCGUAUGUGUAAGGAGAGAUGUACACUAAUUGGUCCUCAUUUUAGACCAUCUAACCACUGAAAACUAAGACUGAAAUAAAUUGUCCUAUCUCAAUUUAAACACUUGCACACCGCAUCUCCAAGUCAGCAGGAGAGAAUGCAAGAUUUCCUUUCUACCACACUUAGAAAUGGCUCUGUCAAGUAAGCUCUUCAGAGUUGAAAUAUUGUCUGUAAAAUGGCCAGCAUGCUUUUUGAGUGCUAUAUAAAUAACAAAAUAAAACUCUUAUCUAUUUUAA